CACUCAACCAAUUCUAACCACAAACACCUUCUCAAAACAGCGGCACCAUCCCUCUUCCUCUCCAUUUCAUAUCCCAAACCACACACCACUAUAUCAUUCACACUACACCACAAUAUCACAACUUCAAUUUCCUUUCUGCCGUGAGAGUGAGAGAGCAGCUACAUAGGAAUUAACGACGGGAGAGAGAGUGAGCCGAGCUUCCUGUUUCUUUUCUUUUCUGUCCGUAAAACCAGAGAGGGAAGAGAGGGACUUGUGAUCCGGUCUGUCUUCCAUCUGUGAGCUGGUGCAGAGCUUGAGACCAGAGUUCCUUCAUCCAGCCGCAAGCCAGAGCAAGGGAGAGAGGAAGAGAGAGCUAGCGGUCUGCAUUUUUUUCUGGACAGCCGAGAGAGAGAAUUGUUGCAGCUGCUAGCUGUGUGUUUUAGGCUUCAGGCUAAGGAUUUAACGAGGACUUGGACUACGAUUCCCGGCUUGACCUUUGAACUUCACUCUUGGUUCCGGAAAUCGAGAGACUUGAAGUUUAUCUUAUCGUUUUGUAAAUUUUAUUUCGAAUCGUACUUGUAUCUUCGUUUUGGGUUGCCACUUGAAGCUGGAAAAGUGCAAACCCUAAGAUUUGGCUUGUAUGAAUUUUAUCUGAGCUUUAUGAACUUACUGUGUGGUUUGUAUUGUAUAUUUGAGAUUAUGUGGUGAUCUGGUCAGAGAUGUAUUUAGGAGUGAACGGGUGGAUGUUCUAUGGUAAGGUUAUUUCUGAA